AUUGAACGCUGGCGGCAUGCCUUACACAUGCAGGUCGAACGGCAGCACGGACUUCGGUCUGGUGGCGAGUGGCGAACGGGUGAGUAAUGCAUCGGAACGUGCCAUUGAGUGGGGGAUAACGUAGCGAAAGUUGCGCUAAUACCGCGUAUUCUGUGAGCAGGAAAGCAGGGGACCGCAAGGCCUUGCGCUCUUUGAGCGGCCGAUGUCAGAUUAGCUAGUUGGUGAGGUAAAGGCUUACCAAGGCGACGAUCUGUAGCGGGUCUGAGAGGAUGAUCCGCCACACUGGAACUGAGACACGGUCCAGACUCCUACGGGAGGCAGCAGUGGGGAAUUUGGACAAUGGGGCAACCCUGAUCCAGCCAUGCCGCGUGAGUGAAGAAGGCCUUCGGGUUGUAAAGCUCUUUCGGCCGGGAAGAAAUCGCAUGGGCCAAUACCCUGUGUGGAUGACGGUACCGGAAUAAGAAGCACCGGCUAACUACGUG
rnacentral:rRNA from 1 species